ensembl:snRNA U2 U2 spliceosomal RNA
AUCACUUCUUGGCCUUUUGGCUAAGAUCAAAUGCAGUUCUAAUAGGUGUGUGUGUGUAAUCUUUAGGGUUUUCUACAUAUAAGAUCUUGUCAUGUGAGGAAAAAAGGCAAUUUACUCCUUCAUUUCCAGUUUAGAUGCCUUUUAUUUC